AACGAACGCUGGCGGCAGGCCUAACACAUGCAAGUCGAGCGAGGACUUCGGUCCUAGCGGCGGACGGGUGAGUAACGCGUGGGAACGUGCCCCUUGGUACGGAAUAGCCCCGGGAAACUGGGAGUAAUACCGUAUGAACUCUACGGAGGAAAGAUUUAUCGCCAAGGGAUCGGCCCGCGUUGGAUUAGGUAGUUGGUGGGGUAAUGGCCUACCAAGCCGACGAUCCAUAGCUGGUUUGAGAGGAUGAUCAGCCACACUGGGACUGAGACACGGCCCAGACUCCUACGGGAGGCAGCAGUGGGGAAUCUUAGACAAUGGGCGCAAGCCUGAUCUAGCCAUGCCGCGUGAGCGAUGAAGGCCUUAGGGUUGUAAAGCUCUUUCAGCUGGGAAGAUAAUGACUGUACCAGCAGAAGAAGCCCCGGCUAACUCCGUGCCAGCCGCCGCGGUAA
rnacentral:rRNA from 1 species